GGGGAAUUUUGGACAAUGGGCGCAAGCCUGAUCCAGCCAUGCCGCGUGCAGGAUGAAGGCCCUCGGGUUGUAAACUGCUUUUGUACGGAACGAAAAGCCUCUUUCUAAUAAAGAGGGGUGAUGACGGUACCGUAAGAAUAAGCACCGGCUAACUACGUGCCAGCAGCCGCGGUAAUACGUAGGGUGCGAGCGUUAAUCGGAAUUACUGGGCGUAAAGCGUGCGCAGGCGGUCUUGCAAGACAGUGGUGAAAUCCCCGGGCUCAACCUGGGAACUGCCAUUGUGACUGCAAGGCUGGAGUACGGCAGAGGGGGAUGGAAUUCCGCGUGUAGCAGUGAAAUGCGUAGAUAAGCGGAGGAACACCGAUGGCGAAGGCAGUCCCCUGGGCCUGUACUGACGCUCAUGCACGAAAGCGUGGGGAGCAAACA
rnacentral:rRNA from 1 species